CAGUCGCCACGGUAAUACGUAGGGUGCAAGCGUUAAUCGGAAUUACUGGGCGUAAAGCGUGCGCAGGCGGUUUGUUAAGACAGAUGUGAAAUCCCCGGGCUCAACCUGGGAACUGCAUUUGUGACUGGCAAGCUAGAGUGUGGCAGAGGGGGGUGGAAUUCCGCGUGUAGCAGUGAAAUGCGUAGAUAUGCGGAGGAACACUGAUGGCGAAGGCAGCCCCCUGGGCCAACACUGACGCUCAUGCACGAAAGCGUGGGGAGCAAACAGGAUUAGAUACCCCAGUAGUCCCUGUCUCUUAUAC
rnacentral:rRNA from 1 species